ACGUUACUAACGACGAUAUGCUUUGGGUAGCUGUAAGUAAGCGUUGAUCCAGAGAUUUCCGAAUGGGGGAACCCAGCAUGAGUUAUGUCAUGUUAUCGACAUGUGAAUUCAUAGCAUGUCAGAAGGCAGACCCGGAGAACUGAAACAUCUUAGUACCCGGAGGAAGAGAAAGAAAAAUCGAUUCCCUGAGUAGCGGCGAGCGAAACGGGAAGAGCCCAAACCAACAAGCUUGCUUGUUGGGGUUGUAGGACACUCUAUACGGAGUUACAAAAGAACAUGUUAGACGAAUCAUCUGGAAAGAUGAAUCAAAGAAGGUAAUAAUCCUGUAGUCGAAAACAUAUUCUCUCUUGAGUGGAUCCUGAGUACGACGGAGCACGUGAAAUUCCGUCGGAAUCUGGGAGGACCAUCUCCUAAGGCUAAAUACUCUCUAGUGACCGAUAGUGAACCAGUACCGUGAGGGAAAGGUGAAAAGUACCCCGGAAGGGGAGUGAAAGAGAACUUGAAACCGUGUGCUUACAAGUAGUCAGAGCCCGUUAAUGGGUGAUGGCGUGCCUUUUGUAGAAUGAACCGGCGAGUUACGAUCUGAUGCAAGGUUAAGCAGCAAAUGUGGAGCCGCAGCGAAAGCGAGUCUGAAUAGGGCGUUGAGUAUUUGGUCGUAGACCCGAAACCAGGUGAUCUACCCUUGGUCAGGUUGAAGUUCAGGUAACACUGAAUGGAGGACCGAACCGACUUACGUUGAAAAGUGAGCGGAUGAACUGAGGGUAGCGGAGAAAUUCCAAUCGAACUUGGAGAUAGCUGGUUCUCUCCGAAAUAGCUUUAGGGCUAGCCUCAAGUGAUGAUUAUUGGAGGUAGAGCACUGUUUGGACGAGGGGCCCCUCUCGGGUUACCGAAUUCAGACAAACUCCGAAUGCCAAUUAAUUUAACUUGGGAGUCAGAACAUGGGUGAUAAGGUCCGUGUUCGAAAGGGAAACAGCCCAGACCACCAGCUAAGGUCCCAAAAUAUAUGUUAAGUGGAAAAGGAUGUGGCGUUGCCCAGACAACUAGGAUGUUGGCUUAGAAGCAGCCAUCAUUUAAAGAGUGCGUAAUAGCUCACUAGUCGAGUGACACUG
rnacentral:rRNA from 1 species